CUGGAAGCUCGUAGACGUGGACGGGAGCGACGGGCAAGUGGUCACCCUUGGGCUGGAAUCCGGCAUCAUCGGCAACCCAGGUCAAAGUGAAUUUCUCGCCUUCAGGAGAAACCCAGUAGGAAGAUCCCUGGUUGGUGUUUCCGUAGACUUCCUCUUUGGUUUCUUUGCCGUAAUCAUCGACGGUGGUGACGGUGAAUUUCUUCUGGGCCUGGGAUUCGGCACGGGUGGCGUAGUCGGAUUGGGCGUAG